GUGCAUCGCUACUAUAAUUCCCCUCUGCACCUGGGCCAUGGAGGUGCGUAUUCCGCUGUCUGGGUACCGUGGAAUGGAACCACGAGGCGGUAAGCGGAGGUUCGCGACCCCGCCGGAUUUAAUUUUCGAGACCAGAGUGUGACCGAUGCCAGCGCCUUGUAAUCACUGGAGCAAAAGAAGUGGAAUUUUCGGACUAGCGCUACUUGUGCAUCCGCGAUUUCUCUUUUGUGAAAUGUAAUACGCAUUUGAAAGCGUUUUUAGAUUUCCCCACUUUUCCAAAAUUAUCUAGCUCACAAGAUCAUCCGCGAGAAACCGUAGACAAGUUUUAGCUAAAUAAGCUGCUCGUAAACAAAUAAUUUCAAAGUAGUAUCAUUUAAAAAACAUCCUUUCGAAAAUCAAUAGCAAAAAUGGAAUUUGACUACAUCUCUUUUUUAAAAAAAACACGGUCUGUUUAUUAUAAUAAGCACUGAAAAUUCCUAAAUACCUCACAAUAGGAGUCCGAUUAAAUAAAAUAUAGUAAGUUAUAUUAAGGAAAAUGUAGGUAGCCAUUAAUAAUCGUAAUGUAGAUGAACAUUUGCUAAGAAGGAAAAGGGUUCACAAUUAUACCAUGAUACCUUGGCUUCCCUGGUGGCGCAGUGGUUAAGAAUCUGCCUGCCAAUGCAGGGGACAUGGGUUCAAGCUCUGGUCCGGGAAAAACCCCACAUGCUGCGGAGCAGCUAAGCCCGUGCGUCACAGCUACUGAGCCUGCGCUCUAGAGCCCGCGAGCCACAGCUCCUGAAGCCCGCGUGUUGCAACUACUGAAGCCCACGUGCCUAGAGCCUGUGCUCCGCAGCAAGAGAAGCCACCGCAAUGAGAAGCCCAUGCUCGCCGCAACUAGAGGAAGCCCGCGCGCAGCAACGAAGACCCAAUGCAGCCAAAAGAAAUAAAUUAAAUAAAUAAAUUUAUUUUUUUUUAAUUC